rnacentral:rRNA from 1 species
UACCAGCACCCCGAGUGGUCGGGACGUUUUAUUGGGCCUAAAGCACUCGUAGCCGGUUCUACAAGUCUUCCGUUAAAUCCACCUGCUCAACAGAUGGGCUGCGGAAGAUACUAUGGAGCUAGGAGGCGGGAGAGGCAAGCGGUACUCGAUGGGUAGGGGUAAAAUCCGUUGAUCCAUUGAAGACCACCAGUGGCGAAGGCGGCUUGCCAGAACGCGCUCGACGGUGAGGGAUGAAAGCUGGGGGGAGCAAACCGG